AUUGAACGCUGGCGGCAGGCCUAACACAUGCAAGUCGAACGAGUGGCGGACGGGUGGGUAAUGUCUGGGAAACUGCCUGAUGGAGGGGGAUAACUACUGGAAACGGUAGCUAAUACCGCAUACCAUCAGAUGUGCCCAGAUGGGAUUAGCGAGUUGGUGGGGUAACGGCUCACCAAGGCGACGAUGCCUAGCUGGUCUGAUAGGAUGACCGGCCACAAGGGAACUGAGACACGGUCCAGACUCCUACGGGAGGCAGCAGUGGGGAAUAUUGCACAAUGGGCGCAAGCCUGAUGCAGCCAUGCCGCGUGUAUGAAGAAGGCCUUCGGGUUGUAAAGUACUUGCAGCGGGUAUGCGUUACCCGCAGAAGAAGCACCGGCUAACUCCGUGCCAGCAGCCGCGGUAAUUC
rnacentral:rRNA from 1 species